GGCCAAGACAAAGUGUGUCUGGGUUCGUUAGAAGCAGCAGCGCCAACGACCAUGUGAACCAUCCAAACCAAGGGUCCGUUUUGUUUCUCACAUCUCAGAUAAGGUGUUAUGACUGCAUGCAUGUUUGCGCAUCAUGUGUGGUGCAGUACCUGCAGAGGCCAGAAGAGGGAUUCCAGAUGUCCUGGGGCUGGAGUUUAUGGUUGUGAGCUGCCAGGUGGAUACUGGGAUUUGAACCUGAGACUUAACCACGGAGCCAUCUCUCUAUCAUCUCUUUACUUUUAAUCUAUUAACAUUUUUUGUUUUGCUUUACUUUUAUCUGUUGUUUGUUUGUUUUGAGACACACGAUCUCACUAUGGGGCUUCUGCUGGCCUGGAGCUCACCAUGCAGGCCAGGGCAGCCCUGAACUCAUUCACUUGUCACCGCCUCCCAAGUGCUGGGGUUAAAAGAGCGUGCACCAUCAUGCUUGGCUCUUUUUUAAAUUUUAAUUUGGCUUUCAGUUAGACAGUAGCUGAGAAGAGGCGGGGACCAGUAAGAACAGGAGGGGACAAAAGGAGAUAAUGGGAUGCAGAUGUGAUCGAAAUUAGAUACAUGUGACAAUGUCAUGAUGAAAUCCAUUAUUAGGCAACUAACAUACGCUAAUACAAACAAUAUAAAAUAAGACUUUGAGACUACAGCAUACACUGCAAGUUUACUUUCAGAUAACAUCCUGCCACUUCACAGGCAGAACAAGUACUUUAUCCACACAGAAUUUCUUGUGUCUGUCUUCCAUCCCUUAUAUCACCACCAUUGCUAAUUUCCCUGGUCCAUCAGAUCCAUAGAU
rnacentral:lncRNA from 1 species